CUGGGGCGAGCGUAUCUGGGAGAUCGAGAUGCGACAGAAGGGAGCUUGCUCCCGGAUGUUAGCGGCGGACGGGUGAGUAACACGUGGGUAACCUGCCUGUAAGACUGGGAUAACUCCGGGAAACCGGAGCUAAUACCGGAUAGUUCCUUGAACCGCAUGGUUCAAGGAUGAAAGACGGUUUCGGCUGUCACUUACAGAUGGACCCGCGGCGCAUUAGCUAGUUGGUGGGGUAAUGGCUCACCAAGGCGACGAUGCGUAGCCGACCUGAGAGGGUGAUCGGCCACACUGGGACUGAGACACGGCCCAGACUCCUACGGGAGGCAGCAGUAGGGAAUCUUCCGCAAUGGACGAAAGUCUGACGGAGCAACGCCGCGUGAGUGAUGAAGGUUUUCGGAUCGUAAAGCUCUGUUGUUAGGGAAGAACAAGUGCGAGAGUAACUGCUCGCACCUUGACGGUACCUAACCAGAAAGCCACGGCUAACUACGUGCCAGCAGCCGCGGUAAUACGUAGGUGGCAAGCGUUGUCCGGAAUUAUUGGGCGUAAAGGGCUCGCAGGCGGUUUCUUAAGUCUGAUGUGAAAGCCCCCGGCUCAACCGGGGAGGGUCAUUGGAAACUGGGAAACUUGAGUGCAGAAGAGGAGAGUGGAAUUCCACGUGUAGCGGUGAAAUGCGUAGAGAUGUGGAGGAACACCAGUGGCGAAGGCGACUCUCUGGUCUGUAACUGACGCUGAGGAGCGAAAGCGUGGGGAGCGAACAGGAUUAGAUACCCUGGUAGUCCACGCCGUAAACGAUGAGUGCUAAGUGUUAGGGGGUUUCCGCCCCUUAGUGCUGCAGCUAACGCAUUAAGCACUCCGCCUGGGGAGUACGGUCGCAAGACUGAAACUCAAAGGAAUUGACGGGGGCCCGCACAAGCGGUGGAGCAUGUGGUUUAAUUCGAAGCAACGCGAAGAACCUUACCAGGUCUUGACAUCCUCUGACAACCCUAGAGAUAGGGCUUUCCCUUCGGGGACAGAGUGACAGGUGGUGCAUGGUUGUCGUCAGCUCGUGUCGUGAGAUGUUGGGUUAAGUCCCGCAACGAGCGCAACCCUUGAUCUUAGUUGCCAGCAUUCAGUUGGGCACUCUAAGGUGACUGCCGGUGACAAACCGGAGGAAGGUGGGGAGGACGUCAAAUCAUCAUGCCCCUUAUGACCUGGGCUACACACCUGCUACAAUGGACAGAACAAAGGGCUGCAAGACCGCAAGGUUUAGCCAAUCCCAUAAAUCUGUUCUCAGUUCGGAUCGCAGUCUGCAACUCGACCUGCGUGAAGCUGGAAUCGCUAGUAAUCGCGGAUCAGCAUGCCGCGGUGAAUACGUUCCCGGGCCUUGUACACACCGCCCGUCACACCACGAGAGUUUGCAACACCCGAAGUCGGUGAGGUAACCUUUAUGGAGCCAGCCGCCCCCCGCCCCCU
rnacentral:rRNA from 2 species